UACGUAGGGUGCAAGCGUUAAUCGGAAUCACUGGGCGUAAAGGGCGCGUAGGCGGCCUGGUAAGUAGGGGGUGAAAUCCUGCGGCUUAACCGCAGGGCUGCCUUCUAAACUGUCAGGCUGGAGCACAGUAGAGGCAGGUGGAAUUCCCGGUGUAGCGGUGGAAUGCGUAGAGAUCGGGAAGAACAUCAGUGGCGAAGGCGGCCUGCUGGGCUGUUGCUGACGCUGAGGCGCGACAGCGUGGGGAGCAAACAGG
rnacentral:rRNA from 1 species